rnacentral:rRNA from 1 species
GACAGAGGGUGCAAACGUUGUUCGGAAUUACUGGGCGUAAAGCGCGUGUAGGCGGCCCGGCAAGUCGGAUGUGAAAGCCCUGGGCUUAACCUAGGAAGUGCAUUCGAAACUCCCGUGGCUUGAGUUCUGGAGAGGGAAGCGGAAUUCUCGGUGUAGAGGUGAAAUUCGUAGAUAUCGAGAGGAACACCGGUGGCGAAGGCGGCUAUCUGGACGGUGACUGACGCUGAGACGCGAAAGCGUGGGGAGCAAACAGG